rnacentral:rRNA from 1 species
GUAGGGAAUCUUGCGCAAUGGGCGAAAGCCUGACGCAGCCAUGCCGCGUGAAUGAUGAAGGUCUUAGGAUUGUAAAAUUCUUUCACCGGGGACGAUAAUGACGGUACCCGGAGAAGAAGCCCCGGCUAACUUCGUGCCAGCAGCCGCGGUAAUACGAAGGGGGCUAGCGUUGUUCGGAAUUACUGGGCGUAAAGGGAGCGUAGGCGGAUAGUUUAGUCAGAGGUGAAAGCCCAGGGCUCAACCUUGGAAUUGCCUUUGAUACUGGGUAUCUUGAGUAUGGAAGAGGUAUGGGGACCGCCAAGUGUAGAGGGAAAAUUCGUAGAUAUUCGGAAGACCACCAGUGGCGAAGGCGACAUACUGGUCCAUUACUGACGCUGAGGCUCGAAAGCGUGGGGAGCAAACAGAAUUAGAUACCCUAGUAGUCC